UGAGUACGAGCUGCUACGGCAGCGAAGUGGGUGACGUCAAGCUUCCAAGAAAAGCCCUAUACCCGUUAAGGCAUGACUGCCUGUACCCGAAACCGACACAGGUGGGGUGGUAGAGAAUACCGAGGGGCGCGAGGUAACUCUCUCUAAGGAACUCGGCAAAAUGGCCCCGUAACUUCGGGAGAAGGGGUGCCACCGCAAGGUGGUCGCAGUGAAGAGGCCCAGGCGACUGUUUACCAAAAACACAGGUCUCCGCUAAGUCGCAAGACGAUGUAUGGGGGCUGACGCCUGCCCAGUGCCGGAAGGUUAAGGAAGCUGGUCAGCGCAAGCGAAGCUAGCGACUGAAGCCCCGGUGAACGGCGGCCGUAACUAUAACGGUCCUAAGGUAGCGAAAUUCCUUGUCGGGUAAGUUCCGACCCGCACGAAAGGCGUAACGAUCUGGGCGCUGUCUCGGGGAGAGGCUCGGCGAAAUAGAAUUGUCUGUGAAGAUGCGGACUACGUGCACCCGGACAGAAAGACCCUAUGAAGCUUUACUGUAGCUUGGUAUUGUGCCCGGGCUCUGAAUGCGCAGGAUAGGUGGGAGGCUUUGAUCCAUUGCUUGCGGGUGAUGGUGAGCCAACGGUGAGAUACCACUCUUUCAGAGCUAGGGUUCUAACGGUCACCCGUUAUCCGGGGACCGGACAGUAUCAGGUGGGCAGUUUGACUGGGGCGGUCGCCUCCUAAAAGGUAACGGAGGCGCGCAAGGUUCCCUCAGGCUGGUUGGAAAUCAGCCGACGAGUGUAAAGGCAGAAGGGAGCUUGACUGUGAGACCAACAAGUCGAACAGGGACGAAAGUCGGCCUUAGUGAUCCGACGGUUCUGAGUGGAAGGGCCGUCGCUCAACGGAUAAAAGUUACUCUAAGGAUAACAGGCUGAUCUCCCCCAAGAGUUCACAUCGACGGGGAGGUUUGGCACCUCGAUGUCGGCUCAUCGCAACCUGGGGCUGAAGUCGGUCCCAAGGGUUGGGCUGUUCGCCCAUUAAAGCGGUACGCGAGCUGGGUUCAGAACGUCGUGAGACAGUUCGGUCCAUAUCCGGUGCAUGCGCAGGAACAUUGAGAGGAUUUCUCCCUAGUACGAGAGGACCGGGAGGAACGCACCUCUGGUGUACCAGUUAUCGUGCCAACGGUAAACGCUGGGUAGCCAUGUGCGGAGCGGAUAACCGCUGAAAGCAUCUAAGUGGGAAGCCCACCUCAAGAUGAGUGUUCCCAUGGCACAAGCCAGUAAGGUCACGGGAAGAACACCCGUUGAUAGGCUCUACGUGGAAGCGCAGUAAUGCGUGAAGCGGAGGAGUACUAAUAGACCGAGGGCUUGACC
rnacentral:rRNA from 1 species